rnacentral:rRNA from 1 species
AACAUUGGACAAUGGGCGAAAGCCUGAUCCAGCAAUGCCGCGUGAGUGAUGAAGGCCUUAGGGUUGUAAAGCUCUUUUACCAGGGAAGAUGAUGACUGUACCUGGAGAAUAAGCCCCGGCUAACUCCGUGCCAGCAGCCGCGGUAAGACGGAGGGGGCUAGCGUUGUUCGGAAUUACUGGGCGUAAAGCGCACGUAGGCGGCCUUUCAAGUCAGAUGUGAAAGCCCCGGGCUUAACCCGGGAAUUGCAUUUGAUACUGUUGGGCUUGAGACCGGGAGAGGAUAGUGGAAUUCCCAGUGUAGAGGUGAAAUUCGUAGAUAUUGGGAAGAACACCAGUGGCGAAGGCGGCUAUCUGGACCGGUACUGACGCUGAGGUGCGAAAGCGUGGGGAGCAAAC